rnacentral:lncRNA from 1 species
GCUCGGCCUGAGGCAUGCACCAGGACCUCACGUCCGCGCUGUCCAUUUAGCAAGCAGGAAAGCUCCAACCCCCCACCUCCCCACCCACGACCCCGGCAUCGCCCCCUCGGAGGUGUUCUCAUGCCAGCUCCCCUCUGACCCCCGCAGCUUCUUCUUAGCGAUUUUCCAUUCUGGGCUCAGGACCUGCUAUCCCAAAACAUGGCACCACCCGGCCUACAACAAAACAGACGCGGAAAGUUCCCUGCCUGCCUUUUGGCUGCCCCCAGCCCGCCUGUGCCGUGGGAGACUCGUCAUGAGCCUUGAGAGUAAAGGCACGGAUCCUGCUCACACCUUCGGGGGACCUCACCAGCGCCUGGCCGUAACGCCCCGCUUGCCCGCGCUGGGCUGGUCCUGGGUGGGGUCUGCAGCUGGGCUGUCUGUGUGAGGCUGGGCCCUCGGAGCCCGAUCCACAGGAGGGUCCAAGGAGAGCGGAGGAAUGUGUCACCCUACCUCUAACCAAACUUUAUCCGCCUCUCCGGCCCUCAAUCUCUAAUUGCCAGUGUCUCACACCUAGUUCACCGGGCCAGAGGGGCAGAGACGCCUCUCCCCCAAUCUGCAGCACCCCUGUUCCAGCCAGCCCAGCCAGCUCAGCUGACUGGGGAAAAGACAAAACAAAACAGGGUCACCCAAAAGUAGUAGAGGGGCCACUGAGAGAGGAGGAGGGGCAGGAGGAGGGGAAAGGGGAAUUUGAGAGAAGGUCCUAGGGAAGGUGGAUAGGGUCAAGGUAUCAUAUAUGCGUAUAUAGAAAUGUCACCAUGAGACUCAAUCAUUUCUACAGUUAAUGUGUGCUGCUAAUGACUUUUAAAAAAUAAAAAGACCCAAGACCUGUGGGGCAUGACUGUGGGCCCAGGGUGAGAUUUAAUAGUUAACACCCAGGAUAUUGAUCAAUCAGAACAGAGCCCUGGCCAGAAGCUGUUCCCUAUGUAGCCCAGGCUGGCCUCAAACUCGAGAUCCUCCUGCCUCAGCCUCCUGAGUGCUGGGCUUACAGGCGUGCACCACCACUCCCAGAUAGCAUGAUGUUUUUACAAGCCUGCCUUUCUAUUAGAUAGCACUCAGCAUUCACCGUAUUUUUGAUCAUGCCUGCUAAAGACAUGAAAGAGGCUUUCCAGAGCUGCAUCAGUAAGUGGCAAGAACAACGGGAUCAGUGAGUUUUGAAAUGCAGGGGAGUGUUUUAUUUUUUUAUUUUUAUUUAUUUUUUUUUUUUCCAGUACUGGGAAUGGAACCCAUGACCUCGCACUUGCCAGGCAGGCGCUGUGCCACUGAGCUAAAUCCCCAGCCCUGAGGGGGAGUGUUUUAAAGGGGACUCAUAGCCAUGUGUCUUUUACUGUAAUAAAUUCCUUUCUUUCUCAUUUUUGUUUUUUGAGACGAACUCGCUGUGUAGUUCAAAUUGACCUUGAACUCACUAUGUAUCCUAGGGCUGGCCUUGAAUCUUCUGCCUCAGCCUCCCCAGUGAUGGGAUUACAGGUGUGUGUGACAC